GAACGCACAUUGCGCCUCCUGGUAUUCCGGGAGGCACGCCUGUCCGAGCGCCAUUACACCCCCCAAGCCUUGCUUGAUGUUGGGCCAUGACGCGCUGUCAAGCCCCAAACCUUUAGGCGCCCCCUACUGGCCGCGAGCGUAGCAAGAAUUUAUUUCCCUCGUUCCGCGUGUCCAUUGGGUGGGUCGCCGAUUGACCCCCUAAAUUUUACAAGGUUUGGCCUCGGAUCAGGCGGGGAUACCCGCUGAACUUAAG
rnacentral:misc_RNA from 1 species